UUCAUCGUGAAAAAUGUAUUGCACGGGUGCAGAGGACGAGAGCUUCGUGGCUUCCAAAUGACAGGUGGUGAGCUAUUGGGGAAGGGGAGCUUCCAGGAGGUCAUAAAAGAACCUAGAACAUCAUCUAAAGACCUGCAGCCGUCACUGGCCUCAGUUCAGUUUAGGGUGUACCCUGGCUCCUGCCCAAUGACAGCUGGGAUUGGCUACUGGACUCCCGCGACCCCCAUGAGGAAAGGUGGCUCAAAAAAUGGAUGGAUUGAUG